UACGGAGGAGGCAAGCGUUAUCCGGAAUUAUUGGGCGUAAAGCGUCCGCAGGUGGCACUUCAAGUCUGUCGUCAAAGACUGGGGCUUAACCCUGGAAAGGCGGUGGAAACUGAAGCGCUAGAGUGCGGUAGGGGUAGAGGGAAUUCCCGGUGUAGCGGUGAAAUGCGUAGAUAUCGGGAAGAACACCAGUGGCGAAAGCGCUCUACUGGGCCAUAACUGACACUGAGGGACGAAAGCGUGGGGAGCAAACAGG
rnacentral:rRNA from 1 species